CCCCCGCAGACUGCAGACUUUUAGUCGGCCGAUAGUUUGAUCGAAAGCUUAAUCAGUACGAAGAUGUAUGAAGGUGUGCACAAGAAAUGAUUCGUAUCGGCCG